AUCAUACUCCCUCUGUCUCAAAAUUAUUGUCUUGAAUUUGUCUAGAUAUGGAUGUAUCUAGUCGUGUUUUACUAUUUUAAUGCAUCCAUAACUAAAAACAUCUAAUACACGAAUAUUGGGAUGGAGGGAGUAUUAU
rnacentral:pre_miRNA from 1 species